UGCUGUGAUGAGAUCACUUGUAGGAAGUGCCGUCAGAAGCGAUAACUGACGAUACCUGCUCCUGGCUGACU
rnacentral:snoRNA from 1 species